GCGGGAAUGGCUGAGUGGUAAAAGCAAUAGAUUCAAAAUCUAUCCUCAUAGGAGGUUCUAUGGUUCAAUUCCAUACUCCCGUA
rnacentral:tRNA from 1 species